rnacentral:rRNA from 1 species
CGCGUAGGUGGUUUGUUAAGUUGGAUGUGAAAGCCCCGGGCUCAACCUGGGAAUUGCAUCCAAAACUGGCAAGCUAGAGUACGGUAGAGGGUGGUGGAAUUUCCUGUGUAGCGGUGAAAUGCGUAGAUAUAGGAAGGAACACCAGUGGCGAAGGCGACCACCUGGACUGAUACUGACACUGAGGUGCGAAAGCGUGGGGAAGCAAACA